CAAAUUCCAAACAAAAUUUUGGUGGACUCUUUUUUAUGCUAUUGUUUGGUCCAUCUGGAUUGCCAGAAGUAACAUAGUUUUCAGAGGCACUGAUUUCACUACUUCCUCAAUAUGUUGUACUAUGUUGUUUCGGGUUUCAGUUUAGCUAAAGGCGCUGGAUGCAAAUUUUCCCUCUACUGGUAUGGAUCUACAUUCUUCGGCUCAAUCUAUUAAAAAUUGGAUCAGUCAAACCUCUCAUAGGCCACUUGUCUCCUGGUCUCCUCCACCUUCACGCUGCCUAAAGUGGAAUGUUGACAACUCUUCACUUGGCAAACCAGGCCCUAGUGCCGUAGGAGGCAUUUUAAGAAAUUCAUUGGGCUCUUUUAUUGGUAUGUUUCUUGCAGUACGGGGAUUUUUUAUUCAAAUGCAGCGGAGCUUAAAGCAAAUUUAAAGGUUCUCCAGUUGUUGGUUUCUGCCCAUGAGGUGUGGUCUUCUGGGGAGUUAAUUUAUAUUCAAUCAGAUUCAAAGAUUGCUUUAUCUUGGGUUUCUGAUCCUAAGAAUACUCCCUUUAAGGUAAAUGAUACUCUUAAUUUAAUUGAUCAAAGCCUAGGCUCUCUUCGAAGGAUUUUUUUUACUCAUGUUUUGUGAGAAGCCAAUAGUUUAGCCAAUUUUUUAGCUAAGGAAGCCAUAAUUGAGUUUUGUAUUAUUUUUAGCUGUUAUUUUUGCAGGCUUCUUUGCUAUAUAAUCUGCAGUCAUUGUUUGUGUGGUGUCAAGUUGAUGGUGCGGGUAAGGGACUGUCUUCAGAUAUUUAGGUGCCUCAUAUGAGUUGUUGAUAGGGGGCACUGAUGUGUUUAAUGUUGGCUUUAAUAGCCUCUAGCUAAGGUGUUUAGUUUUGAUACUGAUUGGAUUUUGCUUAGGCCACGGAUUUAUUAGUCUUGUGUCCAUUCACUGGUUUGUUUGCUUGGAUAGCUUCCAGCUUUUUAUUUACUGUUAUUGAAAGCCAUUUUCUUUACUGCUGCUGAACUUCUUAGAUUUUGG
rnacentral:misc_RNA from 1 species